rnacentral:rRNA from 1 species
GAUGAACGCUGGCGGCGUGCUUAACACAUGCAAGUCGAACGGAAAGGCUCCUGCUUGCAGGGGUACUCGAGUGGCGAACGGGUGAGUAACACGUGGGUGAUCUGCCCUGCACUUCGGGAUAAGCCUGGGAAACUGGGUCUAAUACCGGAUAGGACCACAUUUUGGAUGGUGUGGUGGAAAGUUUUUCGGUGUGGGAUGAGCUCGCGGCCUAUCAGCUGGUUGGGGGGGUAAUGGCCUACCAAGGCGUCGACGGGUAGCCGGCCUGAGAGGGUGUACGGCCACAUUGGGACUGAGAUACGGCCCAGACUCCUACGGGAGGCAGCAGUGGGGAAUAUUGCACAAUGGGCGCAAGCCUGAUGCAGCGACGCCGCGUGGGGGAUGACGGCCUUCGGGUUGUAAACUCCUUUCGCUAGGGACGAAGCGUUUUUGUGACGGUACCUGGAGAAGAAGCACCGGCGAACUACGU